rnacentral:rRNA from 1 species
GACGAACGCUGGCGGCGUGCUUAAUACAUGCAAGUCGAACGGAAAGGCCAUGCUCUUGCUGGUUGCUCGAGUGGCGAACAGGUGAGAAACACGUGUGUAACCUGUCCCUGACAUUGGGGUAAAUUCAGGAAACUCGGGCUCAUAUACGAUAUGAGCUCCUGCUGCACGGUGGGGGUUGGAAAGAUUCGGCGUUUUGGGAUGGACUCGCGGGUUAUCAGCUUGUUGGUGGGGUAGUGGCUUACCAAGGCUUUGACGGGUAGCCGGCCUGAGAGGGUGACCGGCCACAUUGGGACUGAGAUACGGCCCAGACGCCUACGGGAGGCAGCGGUGGGGAAUAUUGCGCAAUGGGCGGAAGCCUGAUGCAGCGACGCCGCGUGCGGGAUGACGGCCUUCGGGUUAUAAACCGCUUUCGACUGUGACGAAGCGUGAGUGACGGUAAUGGGUAAAGAAGCACCGGCUAACUACGUG